rnacentral:rRNA from 1 species
AUACGUAGGUGGCAAGCGUUGUCCGGAUUUACUGGGUGUAAAGGGCGCGUAGGCGGGAUAGCAAGUCAGAUGUGAAAUGCCAGGGCUUAACCCUGGAGCUGCAUUUGAAACUGCUGUUCUUGAGUAUCGGAGAGGCAGGCGGAAUUCCUAGUGUAGCGGUGAAAUGCGUAGAUAUUAGGAAGAACACCAGUGGCGAAGGCGGCUUCCUGGACUGUAACUGACGCUGAGGCACGAAAGCGUGGGGAGC